AUGAUGAGCUUCAAGAACCACCAUGAGGGGUUUGCGGGGCAGCAGCUGCUCGCCGCCGCCGCCGCCGCCGCGAGCCAGGUCUCCGGUGGGGCGCCGCUGCCCUGGUGGGUUGGGUCCCAGCUGCUGUACGGCGAGCCGAUGGGCCACGGGAAGGCGCCGCCGGCCGUGCCCAUGUCCAUGUCGCCGCCGGAGGAUGCCUGCCGGGACGGCCAGUUCCAGGUCGUGCCGAGGGCCCAGGCGCUGCUGGACGCCGUGCCGCUGCCCAUGGGGGAGAGGGGCAUCCCUGAAGCUCUCAAGUUCUCCAUGGCUCAUGGUAAAGGAGGGAACAGUUCUGAGCACUCUGCCCCUAUCACUCUGCAGUCACCAUUCACAGAGUAUAAUGACCACUUUGAGCUGGGCCUUGGCCAAUCUGUGAUUUCCUCCAACUACUACUCUGAUCAGCAGUAUGGCCUACUUUCUUCUUAUGGAAUGAGAUCAGCGUCUAGCGGGCGUAUGCUUAUACCACUGAACAUGCCUGCUGAUGCGCCGAUUUAUGUGAAUGCAAAGCAAUAUGAAGGCAUCCUUCGUCGCCGUCGUGCUCGCGCCAAGGCAGAGAAGGAGAAUAGGCUGGUCAAGGCCAGAAAGCCAUAUCUUCACGAGUCACGCCAUCUUCAUGCAAUGCGCCGUGCGAGAGGCUCCGGUGGACGCUUCCUCAACACUAAGAAAGAGACCAAUGGAAAAGACACUGGUGUUGGGAGCAAGGCGAUGGCCGGUAACCCGCUUAUGCGCCCAGCUGCAUCUCUCAGUUCAGAGAUCCAGCACUCUGAGCAGGGAAACCGAAGCAGUGUCUCCAGCCUGUCUGGCUCAGAGGUGACAAGCCUGUAUGAUCAUGAAGAUGUGGACCAUUACCACAACUUUGAGCACCUCCGGACACACUUCUUCACCCCGCUCCCGAGCAUCAUGGACGGCGAGCAUGGGGCCGGCAACCCCUUCAAGUGGGCAGCAGCCUCCGAUGGCUGCUGCAACCUCCUCAAAGCAUGA
rnacentral:rRNA from 1 species